UCAGGAUGAACGCUAGCGGCAGGCCUAACACAUGCAAGUCGAGGGGUGGGCUUGCUCGCUGACGACCGGCGCACGGGUGCGCACCGCGUAUGGACCUACCUUUUACAGGGGAAUAGCCCAGGGAAACUUGGAUUAAUGCCCCGUGGUGUGGCAUCACUAAAGCUUGCGGUAGAAGAUGGCCAUGCGUCCCAUUAGUUUGUUGGUAAGGUAACGGCUUACCAAGACUACGAUGGGUAGGGGCCCUGAGAGGGGGAUCCCCCACACUGGUACUGAGACACGGACCAGACUCCUACGGGAGGCAGCAGUGAGGAAUAUUGGACAAUGGAGGAGACUCUGAUCCAGCCAUGCCGCGUGCAGGAAGAAUGCCUAUGGGUAGUAAACUGCUUUUAUACAGGAAGAAAAGGGGCACGUGUGCCCUACUGACGGUACUGUAAGAAUAAGGACCGGCUAACUCCGUGCCAGCAGCCGCGGUAAUACGGAGGGUCCGAGCGUUAUCCGGAAUUAUUGGGUUUAAAGGGUCCGUAGGCGGGCAAUUAAGUCAGUGGUGAAAGUCUGUAGCUCAACUAUAGAAUUGCCCUUGAUACUGAUUGUCUUGAGUUUAGUGAAGUUGCCGGAAUAUGUAGUGUAGCGGUGAAAUGCAUAGAUAUUACAUAGAACACCGAUUGCGAAGGCAGGUGACUAACUAUAUACUGACGCUGAUGGACGAAAGCGUGGGGAGCGAACAGGAUUAGAUACCCUGGUAGUCCACGCCGUAAACGAUGGAUACUAGCUGUCCGGAACCUUGGUUGGGCGGCCAAGCGAAAGUGAUAAGUAUCCCACCUGGGGAGUACGUUCGCAAGAAUGAAACUCAAAGGAAUUGACGGGGGCCCGCACAAGCGGUGGAGCAUGUGGUUUAAUUCGAUGAUACGCGAGGAACCUUACCAGGGCUUAAAUGCUUUUGACAGGGGUAGAGAUACCUUUUCCUUCGGGCAAUUUGCAAGGUGCUGCAUGGUUGUCGUCAGCUCGUGUCGUGAGAUGUUCGGUUAAGUCCGGCAACGAGCGCAACCCACAUCCUUAGUUGCCAGCAGGUUAACUGGGCACUCUAGGGAAACUGCCCGUGAUAAGCGGAGGAAGGUGUGGAUGACGUCAAGUCCUCAUGGCCCUUACGGGUUGGGCUACACACGUGCUACAAUGGCAUCUACAGUGAGUUAAUCUCCAAAAGAUGUCUCAGUUCGGAUUGGGGUCUGCAACUCGACCCCAUGAAGUCGGAAUCGCUAGUAAUCGCGUAACAGAUGACGCGGUGAAUACGUUCCCGGGCCUUGUACACACCGCCCGUCACACCAUGGGAGUUGGUUCUACCCGACGACGCUGCGCUAACCCUUGGGAGGCAGGCGGCCACGGUAGGAUCAGCGACUGGGGUG
rnacentral:rRNA from 1 species